rfam:Triticum urartu cultivar G1812 contig708554, whole genome shotgun sequence.
AUAGUACUCCCUCCAUCCGAAAAUACUUGUCAGAGAAAUGGAUGUAUCUAGACAUAUUUUAGUUCUAACUACAUUCGUUUCAUCCAUUUCAGUGACAAGUAUUUCCGGACGGAGGGAGUAUCAU